rnacentral:tRNA from 2 species
GGGCUAUUAGCUCAGUUGGUUAGAGCGCACCCCUGAUAAGGGUGAGGUCUUUGGUUCAAAUCCAUAAUAGCCCAC